rnacentral:misc_RNA from 1 species
AACUUUUAGCAACGGGUCACUUGGCUCUCGCAUCGAUGAAGAACGCAGCGAAAUGCGAUAAGUAAUGUGAAUUGCAGAAUUCAGUGAAUCAUCGAAUCUUUGAACGCACCUUGCGCCCUUUGGUAUUCCGAAGGGUAUGCUCGUUUGAGUGUCAUUGUACUCUCAUGCUCCCGAUGCUUUUGGAUCGGGAGUGGUGGACUUGGGUGUUGCUGCUUUACUGUGGCUCACCUCAAAUGGAGUAGUGCAACUCUUGGUUGGACAUAGUACGGCGUGAUAAGUGUCUUCGCCGGCGCCUCAUUAGAGGGUGGCCGAUCGGGAGCUCUGUGCUUCAAACCGUCUUCGGACAACAUCUGACAACUUGACCUCAAAUCGAGUAGGACUACCCGCUGAACUUAAGCAUAUCAAUAAGCGGAGGCU